GGCGGGUGUUGGCGAUUGAGGGCAGGCCAAUGCGAUUUAUUUAACCGUUUGAUUUGAAAUUGAAAAUCCGCGUGUCCGUGGUUCGAUUCCGCGACUGGCCACCA
rnacentral:tRNA from 1 species